rnacentral:rRNA from 1 species
UACGUAGGGUGCGAGCGUUGUCCGGAUUUAUUGGGCGUAAAGAGCUCGUAGGCGGUUUGUCGCGUCGGCCGUGAAAUCUCCACGCUUAACGUGGAGCGUGCGGUCGAUACGGGCAGACUUGAGUUCGGUAGGGGAGACUGGAAUUCCUGGUGUAGCGGUGAAAUGCGCAGAUAUCAGGAGGAACACCGGUGGCGAAGGCGGGUCUCUGGGCCGAUGACUGACGCUGGAGGAGCGAAAAGCGUGGGGAGCGAACAGG